rnacentral:rRNA from 1 species
AGAGUUUGAUCAUGGCUCAGAGCGAACGCUGGCGGCAGGCUUAACACAUGCAAGUCGAGCGGGCGUAGCAAUACGUCAGCGGCAGACGGGUGAGUAACGCGUGGGAACGUACCUUUUGGUUCGGAACAACACAGGGAAACUUGUGCUAAUACCGGAUAAGCCCUUACGGGGAAAGAUUUAUCGCCGAAAGAUCGGCCCGCGUCUGAUUAGCUAGUUGGUGUGGUAACGGCGCACCAAGGCGACGAUCAGUAGCUGGUCUGAGAGGAUGAUCAGCCACAUUGGGACUGAGACACGGCCCAAACUCCUACGGGAGGCAGCAGUGGGGAAUAUUGGACAAUGGGCGCAAGCCUGAUCCAGCCAUGCCGCGUGAGUGAUGAAGGCCCUAGGGUUGUAAAGCUCUUUUGUGCGGGAAGAUAAUGACGGUACCGCAAGAAUAAGCCCCGGCUAACUUCGUGCCAGCAGCCGCGGUAAUACGAAGGGGGCUAGCGUUGCUCGGAAUCACUGGGCGUAAAGGGUGCGUAGGCGGGUCUUUAAGUCAGGGGUGAAAUCCUGGAGCUCAACUCCAGAACUGCCUUUGAUACUGAGGAUCUUGAGUUCGGGAGAGGUGAGUGGAACUGCGAGUGUAGAGGUGAAAUUCGUAGAUAUUCGCAAGAACACCAGUGGCGAAGGCGGCUCACUGGCCCGAUACUGACGCUGAGGCACGAAAGCGUGGGGAGCAAACAGGAUUAGAUACCCCGGUAGUCC